GUAACGUGUAAUCUUACCUUGUGCGAAUCCAAUGUUUACGAGGAUCAGAAGAAAGAGUCCAGGUGUAGUGAACAUUCGCAAUAAAGGCGUUCCAUAUUCUGCCGCAACCAAGUGGGCCAUCGGCGUACUGGUGACCAGAGGCUGGACCUCAAGGCUCCCACACGGCGUGUCCUCCUGGAGGCAGGAAACAGCACUGCUCCAACAGGGCAAAGGCUCAGCGUGGGGAGGUAGGAGAUGCUGAGCCGUGGCGGCAAUCUCAUCCAUCCGAUGGGUGGGA